UGAAUUUUAAUUAAAAAUGAGUUUUUAUGUAGCCAUUUUUAUUCAUCGUUUUCUUUUAAUUUUUACGUAAUUAGAUAUUGAAAUAAAUAUGGAAAUGUCGAAAUUUAGAUUUAAUAAAAUAAUUAUUUGGAUGUAAAUGGCGUCGAAUUGCAAAUUCUAAAAGUAUAACGUUUCUUUUUUAUCGUUGAAAUCUUCAAAAUAUGAUAUAGCGUGUAAUUUCCUUUAUAAUUCAGGAUAAAUUUAUUUUUCGUUUGAGCACAUUAGAUCGGUGUAUUUCAAUCCAUUUUCGACAUUAUUCAAUAUUUGAUUUCAAAAAUGCCAAGUAGAGUACAGAUAAUAGAUACGUCAAAUAACGAUAAUAGGAUAAAAAAUUUUUUGAAUACGAUAACAAAUUUUUUCUUUUAUGUUGAUUCAAAGAGCUUAACAAGAUAUUACAUGGCUAUUAACAUCAUACUUUACAGAGCUAUCAAAGUAAUUCUCUCUUAAUAAACUCAGAGUAUCAUAAGACAGCAAUAAACCACGUUUUUAAAUUUUUCUUAUCUUACACGAGGAAAAGACGUCACGAGUUAUUAAAAUAUUACAGAAGAAAAUCACAAUUCAGAAACGAUUACGAUUUUCAUAAAUGAUAAUAUAAGUGUAAAAGUGUGAAUACAUGAGAUGGCUCUAAAGUUUGAAAAAGAAAAUUGAAGAAAACAAAAGAAUUGUAUACAAAAAUGUUUUUAAAUUAUUGUCCAUUAAAUGUUAAUAAUUUAAAUUUGUGUUGAAUAAAGCAAAGAAAACACAUAUGUAAAUAACCUGAUAAGUACAUCGUUUAUAUUUGCAUUUAGAUUUUUCAACAAUGCGAAAUAUCAUUGUUUUAAUUUUUUUGAUUCUCUCCUAUCGAUCAAAAUAAUCCAAUCUUUGAUUGCAAAUUAAUUUUAUUACCGUUUAACACACGUAUCGUAAUUUCAUUUUGCGACUAAAAGAUGAAUUUUUCGCGAAAGAAUACUGAAAGAAGGUGGUAAUCGUAGAGAAAUCAAAUAUUAAGAAGUUAGUCAAGGUAAUGGGGGCUCAAGAAAGGAGUAGUAGAUCGUUGCAGUUGGCCCGCACGACCGGUUCGAGAGAUCGAGAUCCUCGUUUUCUCUGUCGAUCUCUGGCCUCUCCACUGCUACUCCGCCUUCGUACCUCUUGACAUGUUUAGAUGCACGCUUAGAUAGACGUUUUAAAACGUAGCUAGAAACUCGUGGGCACAGUCAUUGCUCGGAUCUAACAGUUUCUUACUUUAUUCUGUUUCAAAACACUGUUGCUUAGAGUCAUGUUUCCGCUGUGUUGUCGGUUCGUUGUUGCCAAUUUUGCCUGUCCAUUUAUGUACAUUUUUUACGCAUGUAUACAGUGAAGAGUGAUAAAUAGACUGCGGAUGUUUAUGCAUUUAUGUUAAAAUUUAAAUGUAGAAAAGUGUAGAGAAUGCACGCGAUAUGCAAAUGAGGCAAAUCUCUAUUUAAGCUCUUUUCUUUCAGCCGUAAUAAUUUUAUUUUAUUGUCUAAUGAAAAGUGAGUCUUUUGAAUCCCUUUUUUUAAACACUUUUUAUCUCAAAAGUUUGAAAAAUUCAAUUGGACACUGUCAAAAUUUGUUUCGUGAUUCAAAUGAUUCUACGAAUGAUAGAUUUGAUGACAAAAAAAAUCAAUCGAUAACCGAAGGAAUCGAGCGGAAUAUUAAUCCGGAAAAUUAAAUCAGAGAUAUAAAAGAAACAACCAAAGUGUACUUCUUAAAAGUCAUUAAAAAAACGCUCGCACUGAUCGUCGAAUAUCCGUUCUCGUGCACAACGCGUGGUCGAUCACAAAAGUUUCUAAACGAGUGAAAUAAAGUCACUUUGCGAAUAAUAACGUUUCGAUCGAUAUCACUAGGGGCAAUUUCUUCCUAAUUCGCAAUGGUGGGUCGGAAGGUAACCGAUUCGCGGAAGAAAGUUUGAAAAUUGGCCUCUCGAGACCAAACGAGUAAUAUUUCGCUGCGCCGCGUGAAACUGCACCACUGUUGUGUGUUGCCGUCAGUUUUACGAGGCUAUCGGUCGUAAAGUGAAAAGGCACCCAGAAAGGGAGGAAGAGAGGAUGUCGAAAAAGAAGAAGAAGAAGAAGAAGAAGAAGAUGAAGGGAAUAAAAAGAAGAGGACAGACUGCGAGAAAACUGUCCUCGUUGGCAAGAUCCUUCUUCGACAAACCUGUCGGCAGCUCGCCAAUCUGCGGGAUCACGUAUGGGAAACGCUUGUCUCUUGACCGGAUAAAAAACCGCAUGCUUUUACGACUUUCCAUAUGCGGAAUGCUUUUUUUUUUUACAAUCGAAUAGCCUAUUCUCUAUAUGAUAGCGAUAGAGUGUCCUUUUUAUUUCGAACGAAUACACUGGAAAGCUAAUAUUAAUUCGAAAAUAUUAUUUCGUGGUUUAAUAUUCGUUACAAAUGCAAUGAGCGUGAAAAGUGUUUCAUUAUUUUCAUCAGCUCAAAUUUUCGAAGAAAUAAAAUUUGAUCUGAUCCAACUCGUUAGAAAUUAUAAUAAUGCGCCUCGUCGUAACAUUUUCCCAGUGAAAAUACGAUGAAUCGGUUAAUAAUUAUGCAAAAUGCGAAAUAAGUUAUCCAAAGUGCAAUGCAAUGAAUGAAUAUUUCUAUAUUAAUAUUUCUGAAUAAAAUGAUAAAAUUUUAUUCAUACUCAAUUUCAUUCGAGUAACGUUGUAAAGGAUUUUUAUUUAUUUAUUUUAAAAAAUUUUUAACCAAAUUUCAAUAAUCUCGCAUUUGUAUUAUUCGUCGCUUCUUUUUCAAUUAUCGAUGAUUAAUUCUUUCGUUUUGAAAUUUCUUGAGUUGAAACGGAAAUGUGUUCUUGGAUGAAAAGUAAAGUAAUUUUCGGCAGAUUUUCAAUCGGAGCAGUAAAAGCUGAAAACAAAUGGAAUGUCUGGAACCCCAGGGCAGAAAGAACCGUAUGGCCGGUCAAAUAUAGCAAACUCGAAAUUUGCCAGUAGUAGGGGCAUAAAGGGGUGCCGUAUAUUCAAAUUAUGGGGUGACCCUUCUCGAAAACUUGACGAAGGGGAAAGGAGGAAUUACCGUGUAUAAGCCAGCAGGCUUGCUUCUCUAAAAUCAAUAGCGCUGUUCCAACUUUGUACACGCUGUUCAGUUAGUAAAACUCGUUCUGAAAAUUUUACUCUGGCAUCAAUUUUUUUCUCAAAUUUAAUGUUGUACAAAUAUAAUAUAUCGUUUAAAACUGAUCUUUUGUUUAUUAUCAUUAUAGCGAGUAAAGGAAUUUACAUUAUUUUAUAAAUUGUUGUUAAUGAAUAACAUAAUUAUUGGGAAUAUUUUGAAAUUAUGAUCUGCAUAAUGUCAAAAAUAAAAUACCUCCUUUGUUAUGAAAUAUAUUUUUAUAUCUUUAAUAGCAUAUUACAAUUUAAUUAAAUUUAUGAAAGUGAAAAUAAAUUGUAAUAUUGAAUUUUAAAAAUUAAUUAUAUAUAUGUUAUUCUAAUUAACAUGGAAAAUACAAAAUGUGGUAUAUAUUCUACUUUAUACUUAUCAUAUAAAUAAUAAUUCUUAUAAUAAAUAUUUUGUCAGAAUUAU